AUUGAACGCUGGCGGCAGGCCUAACACAUGCAAGUCGAGCGAGCGGCGGACGGGUGAGUAAUGUAUGGGGAUCUGCCCGAUAGAGGGGGGUAACACUUGGAAACAGGUGCUAAUACCGCAUACCAUCGGAUGUGCCCAGAUGGGAUUAGCUGGUAGGUGGGGUAAAGGCUCACCUAGGCGACGAUCCCUAGCUGGUCUGAGAGGAUGACCAGCAACACUGGAACUGAGACACGGUCCAGACUCCUACGGGAGGCAGCAGUGGGGAAUAUUGCACAAGGGGCGCAAGCCUGAUGCAGCCAUGCCGCGUGUAUGAAGAAGGCCUUCGGGUUGUAAAGUACUUUCAGCGGGGAGGCGUUACCCGCAGAAGAAGCACCGGCUAACUCCGUGCCAGCAGCCGCGGUAAUAC
rnacentral:rRNA from 1 species